rnacentral:rRNA from 1 species
GUCGAACGGGAAAGGCCCUUCGGGGUACUCGAGUGGCGAACGGGUGAGUAACACGUGGGUGAUCUGCCCUGCACUUUGGGAUAAGCCUGGGAAACUGGGUCUAAUACCGAAUAGGACCACGCGCUUCAUGGUGUGUGGUGGAAAGCUUUUGCGGUGUGGGAUGGGCCCGCGGCCUAUCAGCUUGUUGGUGGGGUAAUGGCCUACCAAGGCGACGACGGGUAGCCGGCCUGAGAGGGUGACCGGCCACACUGGGACUGAGAUACGGCCCAGACUCCUACGGGAGGCAGCAGUGGGGAAUAUUGCACAAUGGGCGCAAGCCUGAUGCAGCGACGCCGCGUGAGGGAUGACGGCCUUCGGGUUGUAAACCUCUUUCAAUAGGGACGAAGCGCAAGUGACGGUACCUAUAGAAGAAGCACCGGCCAACUACGUGCCAGCAGCCGCGGUAAUACGUAGGGUGCGAGCGUUGUCCGGAAUUACUGGGCGUAAAGAGCUCGUAGGUGGUUUGUCGCGUUGUUCGUGAAAACUCACAGCUUAACUGUGGGCGUGCGGGCGAUACGGGCAGACUAGAGUACUGCAGGGGAGACUGGAAUUCCCUGGUGUAGCGGUGGAAUGCGCAGAUAUCAGGAGGAACACCGGUGGCGAAGGCGGGUCUCUGGGCAGUAACUGACGCUGAGGAGCGAAAGCGUGGGGAGCGAACAGGAUUAGAUACCCUGGUAGUCCACGCCGUAAACGGUGGGUACUAGGUGUGGGUUCCUUCCUUGGGAAUCCGUGCCGUAGCUAACGCAUUAAGUACCCCGCCUGGGGAGUACGGCCGCAAGGCUAAAACUCAAAGGAAUUGACGGGGGCCCGCACAAGCGGCGGAGCAUGUGGAUUAAUUCGAUGCAACGCGAAGAACCUUACCUGGGUUUGACAUGCACAGGACGCCGGCAGAGAUGUCGGUUCCCUUGUGGCCUGUGUGCAGGUGGUGCAUGGCUGUCGUCAGCUCGUGUCGUGAGAUGUUGGGUUAAGUCCCGCAACGAGCGCAACCCUUGUCCUAUGUUGCCAGCGGGUUAUGCCGGGGACUCGUAGGAGACUGCCGGGGUCAACUCGGAGGAAGGUGGGGAUGACGUCAAGUCAUCAUGCCCCUUAUGUCCAGGGCUUCACACAUGCUACAAUGGCCGGUACAAAGGGCUGCGAUGCCGUGAGGUGGAGCGAAUCCUUUCAAAGCCGGUCUCAGUUCGGAUCGGGGUCUGCAACUCGACCCCGUGAAGUCGGAGUCGCUAGUAAUCGCAGAUCAGCAACGCUGCGGUGAAUACGUUCCCGGGCCUUGUACACACCGCCCGUCACGUCAUGAAAGUCGGUAACACCCGAAGCCGGU